rnacentral:rRNA from 1 species
GAUGAACGCUAGCGGCAGGCUUAAUACAUGCAAGGCGAGGGGGCAGCAAUGUCACCGUCGUACGGGUGCGUAACGCGUAUGCAACCUACCUUCAACUGGGGGAUAGCCCGGGGAAACCCGGAUUAAUACCGCAUAACACGAGGGGUACAGCAUUGUACUAUUUGUUAAAGAUUUAUUGGUUGAAGAUGGGCAUGGCGUUC